CAUCUCACAAACUUCAUCAAACCUCUCUCUCGGGCGAAUCAAGAUCAUCAUGCCAGACCGUCCAUUUUCACUUCACACGUAUCAUCAUCAUCAUCCAUCUUUGUCUCUCACAUCUCACACUUGAUAAUGUUGAGCAAGUAAAGGGUGUAGCAACAUCAGUCCCCAUCAGUACCAUCUAGCGUCGGAUUUCAUAUAGAUUUGUAGGCGGAUAAGUUCAACAGCGAUGGUUUGGGUUCUGAUUUGUGCUGCAGGGUCUGAUAAGUGGAGAUUCGGGAUGGCAACAGUGGUCUUUAACCUAACGACGGAGGAAAUGUGAAAUUAGGGUUCCGCCACGGAACCGUGGCGGAGAUAUAGGCGGAAUUAGGGUUUUGCUAGAACCUCAGGCGACGAUAUAAGCAACUACAAGCAAUUGACUCCGAUGAUGAAGAAUAACAAGAAAAAGCGUCCACCAACAACCCCUGUCUAUACUCAUUCGGCCAUUUAAAAGGUGUCAAUCCUGUUGCUCAACCUACUGAAGAUGCAGACUCGCGUACCAUUUUUGUUAACAAUGUAAAAAAUAAAACCUCCACGUGUGAAUACAUAGGUUGUAU